AUACGGAGGGUGCAAGCGUUACUCGGAAUCACUGGGCGUAAAGCGCGCGCAGGCGGCCAUUUAAGUUGGAUGUGAAAGCCUACGGCUCAACCGUAGAACUGCAUCCAAAACUAUUUGGCUAGAGUGUGGGAGAGGAAGAUGGAAUUAGUUGUGUAGGGGUAAAAUCCGUAGAGAUAACUAGGAAUACCAAAAGCGAAGGCAAUCUUCUGGAACACUACUGACGCUGAGGCGCGAAAGCGUGGGGAGCAAACAUGAUUAGAAACCCUAGUAGUCC
rnacentral:rRNA from 1 species